UUAAUUAUUUUGAUGAUGCAUCCUGGGUAGAGUAUUAGAGCAAACAAUGCGGUGACCUCAACCGGAUGUGUUUUGACACUUUGCAGACAGUUUCAAAACGCUUUUAGGAUAUCUACACCCUUAUCAGCUCAACAGUCUGCUCUCACGUUGACCAAAUCUCAGUCUUAUACUCACAGCUCAAGUUCGCACUGUCAUGUGGGCCUUGUCCGUCAGUGUUGGCCUCUGCACACAACCAUCAGCAGGAGAGGACUUGAGGAGUUUUUCGACGUACCGGAAAACUGGGGGGAGGCAACCGUGAAGUCAGGGGCACCAUGGAUGGCCAAGCAACUAAGGACAAAAACUAAUGAGGACUUACACAAGCUCUGGUAGGUGGUGGAUGUUGACACAAAGUAUGUUUACAUGCACACUAAUAAUUUGAUAUUAAACUGAUUAUGGCAGUAGGCAGAGUAUGGCAUUAGCUAUGUAAACAACUUACUCUGCUUAUCUUAAUCUGCGUAAGGUCAUAAUCGAAGUAAGCAUAAGUUGAUUAAAACACCUGGUUUUCUGAUUAAUCUUUCAAAUUAUUAGGACAUGUAAACAGCUUCAUCUGCUUUCCAGCGGUGUAUAUGAUCUGUGUAUGUGUCAGCACCAGGUAUGCACGAGUGAAGUGUGUUCGGAAAAACUGAAAGUAUGUAUUUUAUAGUUUUCACAUGCAAACUUUAUGUCCGAACUCCGAAUCAAAUAGUUUUCACAAAAAUAACAUGGUAGAACGUUUGUGAUUGGCGAUUUUCUGCAUUUUUCAAAAUCCCAUCAUGUAGCCUCAUUCUCAGAUGUGUCCAUGUAUACAGGAUUAUUAAGGAAAUCGUUCUUCUUGCAAAGCAUGUUAACAUUAAAGAACUAUUACAUUAACCUUAAAUAACUAUUUUAUUAACCUAUCACAAUCACAUUAUUGUGCGCAUGUAACAGUGCUCAUUGAAGAGCACUGACCUCCAGAAUGAAUACCCAUGAACUAAACUGUUCUCACAGGUAUGUGCUCCUGAAAGAGAAGAACAUGCUGCUUACCACUGAGCAGGAGUCCAAAAGGCAAAGGAUUCAGAUGCCAAUUCCAGAGCGACUGAAGAAGAUUGAAAGGUCCAUGAAGAGACACAGUGGUGAAGGAGAGAGAAGACGGUCUCCGCCUGCUCCAGACAGGUCAGGAGAGAGCAAGACCUGGGGCCUGGAGAAAGGAUGUCUUUGGACGGGUCUACUGGUACCGGUUUAGAGAGCAUGCCCUUCCUUGGUACAUGAACAAGCAAUGCAAAUGUUUCUACAUACCCCUAUUUGUCACCCCCCAUAUGAGGCAUCGUCUAGAGAAACACCUCCUAUACUAAGAACAGAAAACAGAACGGAGACAAAAGCAAGCCGGGCUCCAGGAGAAGUUUCCUCAAAUGAAGGCCCGGACAUGAGACUGUUAAUGACCAAUAAACAUUAUUCUCCCUGCUGCCAUUCAGAUUGGAGCUUGUGACUGUAUCUAAAUUAAUUUACCCCAUGUUUUUUGCAUAAAUAUGUCUGUCAUCAGCAUUUAUUUGAUGUUGGUAGACUGUAGCAUUUGUAUGUCUUUCUCUGUAUCAUGAUGCCUUGACAUUGGUUAUUAAUAUUAAAGUGAUGUACAGACUGA